rnacentral:misc_RNA from 1 species
AUACACCCUAACACUUGUUGUUCGCCAUGAACCGCCAGACGUUUUUCGUUCUUUUGCUUGUUGCGGGGAUUUUGCUGACUAUCUCCGAAGUUGAAGGAAAACUCGGACAUUUCAGUAGCGUGCGAAAACUGUUAAGAAAAAAGAGAGGUAGGUUUUUAUUAACGGAAAAGAAUUGUACCAAAUUUUUUACCCGAUUUUUUUUUACCUUUCCUAUAAAAUGAAUCGGUUAAAAUGAACAAUUAUUUGAAGAAAAAAAAACACGUACCAAAUUGUUAAUCUAUUUUUUUUAUUUUGUUACAAAAUAAACCGGUUAAAAUGAACAAUACAUAUUUUCAUAUUUGAACUUCAACAUAACUAUUAGCCUGUAAUUGAUAUAAACUCUUAUGUAAGAAAGCAAUGUGCUGUUAUUCAUACCCCAUUUUAUACUUUUUAAAUAUCGUUUAGUAGCUUGCAAACUGAAAAAAGGUUAUUGAGACAUUUUUUUGUUUUGCUUCAAAUAUUUAACACUAUGCAUUGAAAUACAAUUUCAGGUCUGAAAAGUCUAUCAGAAUAAAUCUUUAAUAAAUUCCUGCCAAUCGCAAUAAUCUUGUCAUACAUUAGAUAUAUCUUAAAGGUGUUUAAGAACCCAAAGCAGUAAUAAAAGAAUCGUAUCCUCACUACUUUACUAAUAUCUUUGGUUCGCAUUUAGUAUUAUAGAGAGUGUGGCAGCUAAGGUACAUGCACCAAUCUAGCAUAUUCUUUUAUUUUCCUGUACUCCCAAUUUCAACAAAAAGCACCCUGCGGGUGAGACCGGUCAGUAGAGGAUGCUUACUCCUUUCUGGCACCUGGUCCUACCUCUUAUGUUUGCAGAGGUCCGUGUUUGCUUAAUUAUAACAGAUAUAGAUUUUUGAUGAAGUUUUUUUUAUUUCUAAAAUAUUUUAUAUUACAGAAAUAAAUGGUUUCCCUGAAAAUGGACGAUCCGGUCUUCGCGUCGGUCCAAAUACUGGUAUCGGAAGAGACCUUGCUAAAGAGGUUAACAGUCUUGACAUAACAUCUUGUGAAGGACCUACUUUGGAUGAAAGACGACAUUCUGAAUUUGUACAUUUUUUACGGAAACUAUUGUUUCCUUUCAAUGUAACUUUUGUGUGAAAUUUUGAAUUAAUUCUUGAUUUGGUUUUACACAUAUAACUCCUUUUUCUCACAAAUUAAUAAAGACAUUACUCAGCUUUCAU